AGAGCUCUUGUAUUUCAUACAAAGAAAGAAUGAUCUAGAUGCAAUGAAAAAAACAGGUGGCUGCAUUAUUUUGUGGACGAACCAUGAUGAUGUUCAGUAGACAUAGUUGGGGUCAAAUUAUUUGGGUGCUUCCACUUGAAGGGUGGUGCCGAUGUUGAUGUUAGGGGAGUGCUGUAGAAGUUAUGCUUGACUUUUGGAUUGAUAAAUACACAGCGUAUAGUUAUGUUUCUUUUCCUUGCAAUGUAAGCUCUACUUAAGCAUUUUAAUUUUGAUGGAGGUGUUGAGAAGUGUAUUUUAAUGUAUCUAAUUUAGGAACUAGGGAGUAAAUCCUUGCAAGUAGAGAAUUUGGAUCCAUUCUCUAGUUGGGUUGAGUAUUUUACAAUCAG
rnacentral:misc_RNA from 1 species